UCUUUCAAUACACAACUUUGCUUUUGUUUUUAUUCCUGCUAAACUAAUAUAUAUGUGUGGUGUGUGUGAGUUCUCUAACAAAAAAAAUGUAGUGGUGUGUGAGUGAGUGAGUGUUCGAGAUGAAGUGUGUAUAUUUAUGUAUUAUAUAAUGUAUUUGCCGCGUUUGGGAUAGUAGCAGAAAUUUAUAUACGUAUAUAACUCUUAUUCACACACAAAAUGACAAAAUGAUGAAAAUAAUAAAAUAUUGGAGAAAUGUAAUAAAAGAAUACUUUUAGAGAAAUUAAAUGG
rnacentral:lncRNA from 1 species